rnacentral:rRNA from 1 species
GACGAACGCUGGCGGCGUGCUUAACACAUGCAAGUCGAACGGAAAGGCCCUGCUUUUGUGGGGUGCUCGAGUGGCGAACGGGUGAGUAACACGGGAGUAACCUGCCCUUGACUUUGGGAUAACUUCAGGAAACUGGGGCUAAUACCGGAUAGGAGCUCCUGCUGCAUGGUGGGGGUUGGAAAGUUUCGGCGGGUGGGGAUGGAGUCGCGGCUUAUCAGCUUGUUGGUGGGGUAGUGGCUUACCAAGGCUUUGACGGGUAGCCGGCCUGCGAGGUUGACCGGCCACAUUGGGACUGAGAUACGGCGCAGACUCCUACGGGAGGCAGCAGUGGAGAAUAUUGCACAAUGGGCGGAAGCCUGAUGCAGCAACGCCGCGUGCGGGAUGACGGCCUUCGGGUUGUGAACCGCUUUCGCCUGUGACGAAGCGUGAGUGACGGUAAUGGGUAAAGAAGCACCGGCUAACUACGUG